GGAGAGGUGGCCGAGUGGCUGAAGGCGCACGCUUGGAAAGCGUGUGUACGGUAACCCCGGAACGAGGGUUCGAAUCCCUCCCUCUCCGCCA
rnacentral:tRNA from 1 species